CGUUUUGAGACAAUGGUAUAUCAUACCGAUCGAGCAACGCGCUUGCGCCGCGCUCCCCGCUUCUCCUCCCUGAGCGGGUGCCUGUCGAAAUUCGAUAAGGCGAUUGACCCGCCGUCAUGCGGCGGGUUUUUUUAUGCCCGCCUGCAUCCGCGUUGCCG
rnacentral:ncRNA from 18 species